GAUGAUGCAUGUAAUGCAAAAAUGACGACAUAAUGGAGGAUGAGUGUCCAUGUCCACACCUGGAGGAUCUGUUCACCUGUAGAGAGGAAUGUAAAUGAUGUAAACACUGUCUGAUAUCUGUUUCUGAUUUCAGCUGACAACACUUCAGGCUCUAAUCUUAAAAUAACACAUUGUGCAUUGUGUCUUAAAAGGGGUUUAAUAACUUAUACAAGCAAACGACUCACACAGAUGGAGCCUAACUUCUGUUUACUCAUGACUCUUUUACAUCCUGCUUCACCGCACUGCAUUAUGGAAAAAUAUUAAGUUAGUGAAACUUGGAUAUCUAGUGAGCAUCCUUUACAUGCUGAGUAAAGGCGGAAUUUGCCCGGACGUGUUUUCUGCCAGAGAAGGACUACUAGGAGCCGGAGAAACAGGAGAAUCGAGGCUAUAUAGGAUGAUGAGGUGCCACAAAUUUUGACCCAGCCAACGCCAGUAUUAUUAUUGAGGGAACGGAAGUCCUGCAAGACCUGGAUGUAUCCAGAGCCUGUGCCCUGCUAAUGGGGCUGGUAUAUGCUCUCAACCUCAGCUACCCAAAGGAACUAAAAAAUACUUUUGAGGUGUUUCAGAAAAUAAUUCUUGAGCUGGAUGGUCUGAAAGCUAGGCCGAAGGUAAUGUCUUUAAACAAUAAACUGUUGUAUUCCUGAAA